UUGUACCAGGGACAGCAUGGAUCAUUCUCCCAUGAAUCCCUGGGAUUCAGCUCUUCCUCUGUUUCAGGAGGCCUGGCUUACUAUUGAGAUUCUUUUUUAAAAGUCUCUUGCUACCUUAGAGCUCCCUACAGUCUGAAGGGCCUCAGCCCCUCUAUCUUUCAGGCCUCAUGCUUUCAGGCACUGGGUUACCCUCCACCUUCCUAAUGGCUGGGUGUCACUAGGCUGGAACUGUGCCAAGCACAGCUCCUCUAUAGGGUCUGAACUUCAGAUAUAUAGGCCUCACCCAGACCAUGGGUCUAAGCUGUUCUCUCUCAUCCUGCUUUAUGAAAUAGCCCCCGACUCUUGGGGUUUAUCGGUCUGAAAACAGAACUGAUACUAUCAUGGCCACAUGGCCACCUUUUCUAGUCCUAGUCUCCAUUGCUUAGAACCUGGAGGGCUCUAACCCCUAGUCAUAGUCCCUCAGUUUCUCCCCUCCCAACUCUAAUGCCAAACAAAAUUUGAAUAAAUGAGGUUCCUAAAGAUACGCAGAGGGAAAAUGCAAGGAGAAAAUAAAACACAACCAUUAAUUCGGGAGGGAUGUGGUACUAGGAAUCAAAAAGAUAGGAGUAGUAGGAUAGAAGAAGCCAGAGGAGGUGAGAACUGAUCACAAGGAGCUUCCACAUGUGCUGAAGAGGUGGAAGGAGCUAAUGGCUGAAAAGACACCACAGCAUCAUGCACUGGAGAAGGGGGACUUUGUAACUUCAGUGAGAACGAUCUCUGUACCAUGAUCUGACUGCAAGGACCCAGCUGUGAAUGAAAUAAAUCUCUUAUGCCUAACACUCCCAGACCAAUACCAUUCUGGAGGAGUCCCACCCGCACCAUUCCCAGUAAUCACAAGAUGGCUGCUACACCGCAUCAGCUGAUGAUCACCUCUGCUUUCCCGAAACUGCAUUCCAUGGAGACCCACCUACAAUUGAGGAACUGCACUAGACCCAC